GCGAACGCUGGCGGCAGGCUUAACACAUGCAAGUCGAGCGCCCCGCAAGGGGAGCGGCAGACGGGAGAGUAACACGUGGGAACAUACCUUUUGGUUCGGAACAACUGAGGGAAACUUCAGCUAAUACCGGAUAAGCCCUUACGGGGAAAGAUUUAUCGCCGAAAGAUUGGCCCGCGUCUGAUUAGCUAGUUGGUGAGGUAACGGCUCACCAAGGCGACGAUCAGUAGCUGGUCUGAGAGGAUGAUCAGCCUCAUUGGGACUGAGACACGGCCCAAACUCCUACGGGAGGCAGCAGUGGGGAAUAUUGGACAAUGGGCGCAAGCCUGAUCCAGCCAUGCCGCGUGAGUGAUGAAGGCCUUAGGGUUGUAAAGCUCUUUUGCCCGGGAAGAUAAUGACGGUACCGGGAGAAUAAGCCCCGGCUAACUUCGU
rnacentral:rRNA from 1 species